AAUGUGCCUUCGGGGAACCGUGAGACAGGUGCUGCAUGGCUGUCGUCAGCUCGUGUUGUGAAAUGUUGGGUAAGUCCCGCAACGAGCGCAACCCUUAUCCUUUGUUGCCAGCGGUCCGGCCGGGAACUCAAAGGAGACUGCCAGUGAUAAACUGGAGGAAGGUGGGGAUGACGUCAAGUCAUCAUGGCCCUUACGACCAGGGCUACACACGUGCUACAAUGGCGCAUACAAAGAGAAGCGACCUCGCGAGAGCAAGCGGACCUCAUAAAGUGCGUCGUAGUCCGGAUUGGAGUCUGCAACUCGACUCCAUGAAGUCGGAAUCGCUAGUAAUCGUGGAUCAGAAUGCCACGGUGAAUACGUUCCCGGGCCUUGUACACACCGCCCGUCACACCAUGGGAGUGGGUUGCAAAAGAAGUAGGUAGCUUAACCUUCGGG
rnacentral:rRNA from 1 species